rnacentral:tRNA from 1 species
AAGAGAGGUUUGGGACAAGGGAAUCUGCUAACUUCCCCACCCAUGGUUCAAAUCCAUGGCUUUCUUG